CAGGGCUACACACGUGCUACAAUGGCGUAAACAAAGGGAAGCGAGCCCGCGAGGGGGAGCAAAUCCCAAAAAUAACGUCUCAGUUCGGAUUGUAGUCUGCAACUCGACUACAUGAAGCUGGAAUCGCUAGUAAUCGCGAAUCAGAAUGUCGCGGUGAAUACGUUCCCGGGUCUUGUACACACCGCCCGUCACACCAUGGGAGUCAGUAACGCCCGAAGUCAGUGACCCAACCGUAAGGAGGGAGCUGCCGAAGGUGGGACCGAUAACUGGGGUGAAGUCGUAACAAGGUAGCCGUAUCGGAAGGUGCGGCUGGAUCACCUCCUUU
rnacentral:rRNA from 1 species